rnacentral:rRNA from 1 species
AGAGUUUGAUCAUGGCUCAGAACUAACGCUGGCGGCGUGCCUAACACAUGCAAGUCGUACGAGAAAGUUGGCUUCGGCCGAUGAGUAAAGUGGCGCACGGGUGAGUAACGCGUGGAUAAUCUACCUUUUAGUUUGGAAUAACGUACCGAAAGGUGCGCUAAUACCGGAUAAUACUGAGUGACUACUGUUGCUUAGUCAAAGAAGGCUUCUGUUUACAUGCUUUUGCUGAAAGAUGAGUCCGCGUACCAUUAGCUAGUUGGUAGGGUAAUGGCCUACCAAGGCUACGAUGGUUAGCUGGUCUGAGAGGAUGAUCAGCCACACUGGAACUGAGACACGGUCCAGACUCCUACGGGAGGCAGCAGUGAGGAAUAUUGCGCAAUGGGGGCAACCCUGACGCAGCAACGCCGCGUGAGUGAGGAAGGUUUUCGGACCGUAAAGCUCUGUCGAGCGGGAAGAAAUGCAUGGUGGCUAAUAUCCAUCAUGCUUGACGGUACCGCUAAAGGAAGCACCGGCUAACUCCGUGCCAGCAGCCGCGGUAAUACGGGGGGUGCAAGCGUUGUUCGGAAUUAUUGGGCGUAAAGAGCGUGUAGGCGGCUGAAUAAGUCAGAUGUGAAAUCCCUGGGCUUAACCCAGGACGUGCAUUUGAAACUAUUCAGCUUGAGUAGGGGAGAGGAAAGUGGAAUUCCUGGUGUAGAGGUGAAAUUCGUAGAUAUCAUGAGAACACCGGUGGCGAAAGCGACUUUCUGGGCCCUAUACUGACGCUGAGACGCGAGAGCGUGGGUAGCAAACAGAUUAGAUACCCUGGUAGUCCACGCUGUA